UACGUAGGGUGCAGGCGUUGUUCGGAUUUACUGGGCGUAAAGCGUGCGCAGGCGGUUCGUUGUGUCGGUGGUGAAAUCCCCGGGCUUAACCUGGGAAUGGCCAUGGAAACUGGCGAACUGGAGUGUGGCAGAGGGGGGUGGAAUUCCGCGUGUAGCAGUGAAAUGCGUAGAGAUGCGGAGGAACACCGAUGGCGAAGGCCGCCCCCUGGGCUAGCACUGACGCUCAGGCACGAAAGCGUGGGGAGCAAACAGG
rnacentral:rRNA from 1 species